CCAUUUAGUGGGGAAUAACUGUUGGAAACGACAGCUAAUACCGCAUAAUAUUGCUGGAUAAUUUCCAGUAAUGAAAGGAGCUUUCAAGCUCCGCUGAUUGAUGAGGAUGCGGCGCAUUAGCUAGUUGGUAGGGUAAUGGCCUACCAAGGCAAUGAUGCGUAGCCGAUCUGAGAGGAUGAACGGCCACAUUGGGACUGAGACACGGCCCAAACUUCUACGGAAGGCAGCAGUAGGGAAUUUUUCACAAUGGGCGAAAGCCUGAUGGAGCAAUGCCGCGUGACUGAUGAAGGUCUUCGGAUUGUAAAGGUCUGUUGUAAGGGAAGAAAUGGUAAAACAGGAAAUGGUUUUAUCUAUGACGGUACCUUACCAGAAAGCCACGGCUAACUAUGUGCCAGCAGCCGCGGUAAUACAUAGGUGGCAAGCGUUAUCCGGAUUUAUUGGGCGUAAAGGGUGCGUAGACGGUUUUGCAAGUCUGAGGUUAAAUUUAGGAGCUCAACUCCUAAUCGCCUUGGAAACUACAAGACUAGAGUAUAGGAGAGGUUAGUGGAAUUCCAUGUGUAGCGGUGGAAUGUGUAGAUAUAUGGAGGAACACCAGUGGCGANNG
rnacentral:rRNA from 1 species